rnacentral:rRNA from 1 species
CCUACGGGUUGCAGCAGUGGGGGAUAUUGCACAAUGGGGGAAACCCUGAUGCAGCGAUGCCGCGUGGAGGAAGAAGGUUUUCGGAUUGUAAACUCCUGUCUUUGGGGACGAUAAUGACGGUACCCAAGGAGGAAGCUCCGGCUAACUACGUGCCAGCAGCCGCGGUAAUACGUAGGGAGCAAGCGUUGUCCGGAAUUACUGGGUGUAAAGGGAGCGUAGGCGGGAUGGCAAGUCAGGUGUGAAAACUAUGGGCUCAACUCAUAGAUUGCACUUGAAACUGUUGUUCUUGAGUGAAGUAGAGGUAAGCGGAAUUCCUGGUGUAGCGGUGAAAUGCGUAGAUAUCAGGAGGAACACCGGUGGCGAAGGCGGCUUACUGGGCUUUUACUGACGCUGAGGCUCGAAAGCGUGGGGAGCAAACA